UGCCCAGCAACUCCUAUCCCCACCUCCUCGCGGUACCGGCCGGAAACUAUGAGCAACCUUAGGGAAGAUCGGGUAACCAACCGUAUGUCGUAUGCUGACAGGGAAGG
rnacentral:ribozyme from 1 species